AUGCCGCGUGCAGGAAGAAUGCCCUAUGGGUUGUAAACUGCUUUUAUUUAGGAAGAAUCCCCAGUACGUGUACUGGGUUGACGGUACUAAACGAAUAAGGACCGGCUAACUCCGUGCCAGCAGCCGCGGUAAUACGGAGGGUCCAAGCGUUAUCCGGAAUCAUUGGGUUUAAAGGGUCCGCAGGCGGACUAUUAAGUCAGUGGUGAAAUCUCUUGGCUUAACCAAGAACUUGCCAUUGAAACUAUUAGUCUUGAAUUCGGUCGAAGUGGGCGGAAUGUGUCAUGUAGCGGUGAAAUGCAUAGAUAUGACACAGAACACCGAUAGCGAAGGCAGCUCACUAGGCCUGAAUUGACGCUCAGGGACGAAAGCGUGGGGAGCGAACAGGAUUAGAUACCCUGGUAGUCCACGCCGUAAACGAUCAUUACUCGAUAUCAGCGAUAUACAGUUGGUGUCUAAGCGAAAGUGAUAAGUAAUGCACCUGGGGAGUACGAUCGCAAGGUUGAAACUCAAAGGAAUUGACGGA
rnacentral:rRNA from 1 species